rnacentral:rRNA from 1 species
UGAGGGUUGAUAGGUUAAGAGCUAAUUGACUGGACGUUACCCACAGAAGAAGCACCGGCUAACUCCGUGCCAGCAGCCGCGGUAAUACGGAGGGUGCGAGCGUUAAUCGGAAUUACUGGGCGUAAAGGGUGCGUAGGUGGUUAAUUAAGUUAUCUGUGAAAUUCCUGGGCUCAACCUGGGGUGGUCAGAUAAUACUGGUUGACUUGAGUAUGGUAGAGGGUAGUGGAAUUUCCGGUGUAGCGGUGAAAUGCGUAGAGAUCGGAAAGAACACCGGUGGCGAGGGCGGCUACCUGGACUAAUACUGACACUGAGGCACGAAAGCGUGGGGAGCAAACAGGAUUAGAUACCCUGGUAGUCCACGCUGUAAACGAUGUCAACUAGCUGUUGGUUAUAUGAAUAUAAUGAGUGGCGCAGCAAACGCGAUAAGUUGACC